AUUUGCUUUAAGCAGCAUUCUGCCUUGUGGUCCUGACGAGCUGCAUUGCCUCUUUCCCAGCUCUAGUUGAAGGCAUGAUUCACUCAAUAGUGUUCAGCCCUACUAUAGAUGUGCGUGAAUAGGUUUAGUGAUUAAGUGACAAUGAAGCAAGCUCACUUCAAAAUGCGUACAGGGGCUCUGUUUAUCGGUGGUAACAUCCAGCUGCAUCCAUAAGGCUUUUUCCUAUUCUACUAUAAAGACUAUGCGACAGCUGUAAGCACAUGUACUGUUUCCUGUAAAUUACCCGAUCUAUUUCUUGGAACUAACCAGAUGACAUUUAUUCGUUCCCUCUGCAAAUACUGCAAAUAGAUUUUAAAAGAACACAAUGGAUUUUAGCAAUUCGUCUGUGUUCGAUCAGCAUAAAGGUAAGUGAGCUGUUUGUUUCGACUCUAAUUUUUUUUUUUUUUAUGUGAGAUGUAAUUUUUUUUUCUGUUCUUUCUUUAAUACCAGAUGUGUUUAGAAGGGGACAUGUGUUCAAUGCUUUCCGUCUCCAUGCAAAGAGUUAAUUAACAUCGCGUAGUAUUUAUUAGGAGCCUAGCUGAUAACUCUUUCAGAUAAGCCAUCCAAUUAUAGAAGCAUUAAUGAAAACACAAUGCAACUUGUAUGUAGGAUAUUUUCAUUACAGCCACUUAACCCUGAGCUACCUAUGUCUCUCUGUGACUAAAGUCAACGUUAUUAAGAAAUUACUACCAAAAAGGUUUAAGUGACGUAUGAACGUGAGGAUCCCAGGUUUUCUCCACGGCCAAUCCAUCUAAACCAUGGGUCGUCAACCUGGUCCCUACCGCCCACUAGUGGGCGUUUCAGGAUUCCUGGUGGGCGGUAGGGAUUUGGACAGCUAAAUCCCCCGUUUGAGAGAGUGGGUGGCAGGCCCGGACUGGCCCAGCUGGGGCUGGGCUGACCGCCUUAAUGAUCAUUCUGAUAAAUCCUCCCCUCGGACUGUGCCAGCCUGUCAGUCCGAGGGGAGGAAGGAGGGAGGAGCUGGGGGCUGGUGUGACUGCCAGCAGCUGCAGGGAGACCUGUCAGUCUCCCUGCACAGUCUGAAAUCAUUAUAGCCGCAUACUCCGCCCCCAAACGGAAGCUCCGCCUCCCGCUCAAAGCUCCGCCCCAUGCACGUUACUGGGAAGCUGCCCACCGGACCAAGAGGACACGAAAGGUAUUUACUUUUUUACAGCCCCCCUACCCACUAUAUUGCCCCCUAACCCACUAUAGAGCCCCCCUAGCCACCUCACAGCCCCCCUAGCCACUAUUCAGCCCCCUACCCACCUCACAGCCCCCUACCCACCUCACAGACCCCCUACCCACUAUACAGCCCCCCUACCCACCUCACAGCCCCCUUACCCACCUCACUGCCCCCCUACCCACUAUACUGCCCCCUACCCACCUCACUGCCCCUACCCACUAUAGAGCCCCCUAUCCACUUAUCUGCCUCCCACCCACUAUACAGCCCCCCUACCCACCUCACAGCCCCCUUACCCACUAUACUGCCCCUUACCCACUAUACAGCCCCGUACCCACUAUAGAGCCCCCUACCCACUUCACUGCCCCCUACCNNNNNNNNNNNNNNNNNNNNNNNNNNNNNNNNNNNNNNNNNNNNNNNNNNNNNNNNNNNNNNNNNNNNNNNNNNNNNNNNNNNNNNNNNNNNNNNNNNNNCCUACCCACCUCACAGCCCCCCUGCCCCCUACCCACUAUACUGCCCCCUACCCACUAUAGAGCCCCCCUACCCACCUCACUGCCCCAUCCCACUAUAGAGCCCCCCUAGCCACUAUAGAGCCCCCCUACCCACCUCACAGCCCCCCACCCAUUAUAGAGCCCCCCUACCAACCUCACAGACCCCCUACCCACUAUACAUCAGCCUUACUUUUGUUCAUUGGAAUGUAAAAGAAAAGCAUAAAAAAGGAGAUAAAAAGGAAAAGAUAAAAAAAAAAAGGAAGGAAAAAUAGAAAAAAAGGGGAUAAAAUAAAGGAGGAGAGUACUUGUAAAAAAAGGAGAACGAAGGAGCAGAGUACUUGUAGCAUUGGAGAAAGAAGGAACAGAGUACUUGUAGCAUUGGAGAAAGAAAGAGCAGAGUACUUGUAAAAAAGGAGAAAGAAGAAAAAGAAAAAGGAGAAAAUUGUUGUUGGCUAAUAUAAUAAUAAUAAUAAUAAUAAUAAUAAUAAUAAUAAGUGGGCUACCUAGCUCAGCCUUCCUGCUGGGCAUUGCUAUAACGAAGGUUAAAAAUUAGGAAAAAGGGGGAAAAAAAAAGGUGGAGAGGUGAAUUGAGGAGGGAGAGAAGGGGAGCUGAUGCACAGAUGAGAAAUCAUAUUACGCGCAAACAGUGAAAUCGUUUGAAUAUCACCGAAAGAGAGAGACCUUUGCUUGUUCCUUAUGAAAAUCGAACCAGAUAUCAAAUAUUUAGUCUCGCAGCAUCAACCUCAAAUAUCUCAUUAAUCACUAGUAAAGGUAAUUUAAAUUUACUUUAUUUUCUCAUUAUAUUUUAUAAAGUUAACAACAUUAUAAACAUGCAUAAAGUAGAAAUAAAAAGAUAAAUGUAUGUACAUUUUUUUUUAUUUUUUUUUAAAAACACCCUCCUUUCUAAAAAAUAUUCUGCACUUGCGCGAAAACUGGUGGGCGGUAAGGAAAUUUUUCCAUCAAGAAAGAUGCAUUAGUGGGCGGUAGGUAGAAAAAGGUUGACUACCCCUGAUCUAAACCUUGACUUCAUUCCAAGGUCCAUAACAUGUGUACCAUUAGGCUAGGAAAUAAUAACAUUUUGGCUCUAGGGCAAUGCUUUAAAAUCUACCGAAAUCUCAGUGUACCUUUCUAGGUAUAACAGUUUAAUUAGUGUAAUAAAUUGUAAGUUUUACACUAUUCACAUUUGCACAUGCUUUUUUAAUUUUUGUUUUUGUUCAAGUCUUUGUUUAAAAUGUGCACUUAGAUUGCAAACAAGAUAUAAAUACAUCUCUAAUGGGAUAUAGAGUCUUGGAAAUUUCACUCCACAUUGCGCUGCUAAUCAUUAUGUUAGCGGGUAAUGUCUUGUACAGAAUUUAUUGGUGCAUACCUCCUUAUGGUAAAGCAUGGUAUGUUGUGUUUAUUUCAAUAAAUACUCUAAUUGAUGUUCUUUUGUAGAUAUGCACUAUAUGAGAUGUAAUGAUUAUCCAAAAUACAUUUUAUUUGCAUUACAAUGCAGAUUUAGGACCCCCUAUUGUAAAAGUACCAUGUUGGAGUUUAUUACCGAACAAUGGCCCCCACUAUCCCUUAUUGUAGGAUAUAGACUGUGUGCUCAUAGUAGCUUCUAGCAUAAUAAACACUAUGAGAACCCAUUUGACAUGUAUGGGUUGCUAUGGAAAUCCUGAUGGAGCCAAGCUGCCUUUUGAAGUGUGAGGCUUGAAUGCAUUUCAUACAAUGGCCGAGGAAUACAGCUAUGCAUUGCAGAUCAUCUCGGCAACAAAUACAUUUCAGCUUACAAUGGCUCCUCCACUUAAUGGUCUGUAUUGUAAAGGAAAAUCGGUCUGACCUGCAACGGCGCAAGGCAGUGAUUUCAUUGAAAAUUAUUGCACUUUAACCCCUUAAGGACACAUGACAUGUGUGACAUGUCAUGAUUCCCUUUUAUUCCAGAAGUUUGGUCCUUAAGGGGUUAAAAGACCCUCAGAUAAUUUAUUAGCAUUGCCAAUAAUGUCUACAGACUGUAGACGUAGUAAGAUGUGUGCAGCUUAACUCUAUUAGUGGGAGGAAGUUGUACGUGAGUAGCGAUAGUCACGUCCGUUCCGAGAAUCUUGCUUUCAUUUGGUGUCGCUGAAGGCAGAAGAACAGGUAUAAGGAAGUGCUUUUAUUCUUUUUCCUGCAGACUGAAACUCAAAGCAUGCCAAGUAGGCAAUGAUAGUUACAGUAAAAGAGGAUGGUGUGCUGGGAUAGGCUACCUGUAUAAACAAAGACAGAAACAAUCAGUGCAAUUUGCCUAUGAAUUUGAAAUGGUAUUAUUUCUGAACACCCCAUUUAAAUGGCACUCACAAAUACAUUUCGAGAUAUCAGGAAGAGUGUUAAGCAAUAGCUAUUUGACACCUAGGGACUGCGAUGCGAAGUUGCAAAUACGUAAUCAUUUUUUUAACUUGCUUCAUCCUUGUACUCAUCAUAAAAAUAUAGGUCCCCCUCUUUUUUUAUCCUUUCAACAGCAGCAAAUAAUCCACGCAAAACUCUCAAAGGGACGCACGUAAAGGGACCUAGAGAAUGGCUCAUAGUAGAUCACUUGGCAUUACCCAGACUUACAGCAUGGACUCUUUUCAAAUUAUUUUUAUUAAACAAUUUUUGAAAAUCAUAAUAGUACCAAUAUGAAACAGAAACAAUAAUAUACAAAUGAUUAAUGAAUAAUAAAAAAUAAAUAAAAGAGGAUGAAGGGGUUCCAUCCUUAGAUACAGGAAAUACAAUUUUUAAAGUUAGACAAAAUAAUACGUGGUACAGAACAUAUUAAAACCAUAUGUUUAUAUGUUUAAAUGGAUACUUAUUGUGCUGUGGGGCAUGUGGAGCUGUUUACAGAAGAAACGUUUCUCACUUCACCUUUCCAUUGUCCCAAUAAAAUUGCAAAUUAAUCUUUUAUAGUGAAGGUUGCUGCAACGUCAACUCGUACUUUUUGUUAUCAAGUGCUAAAAGCAGCAAUUCUCUCAUAGAUGGGUUUUGCUGACUUCCAAUAACAUGUCAUGAGCGGCAUGGCUGCCAUAAAAAUGUGGCCUGCCAUCACUCUAUCUACCAUUCUUUGUUGUGUUAGAGAAACAUUUAAAUAAUCAGGAUACCAUUCUUUGUUGUGUUAGAGAAACGUUUAAAUAAUCAGGAUAAAAUGUUAUAAGUGACGGGUCUAUCUUCUUUAUCAAUGAAUGGAUCCCAUGCCAGAACCCAGGAGCUUUACAUAGUGCCACCAUAUAUGAGAUUAUGCACCCAUGUCACCACAACCCCUCCAACAUCGAUCUGAAAAAUCUGCUUUCAUUUAAUGGAGUCUUGAUGGGGCAGACAUCAACGGGAUAACAUUUUUAAGUACUGUAAUUUCUUAGGCAAACAAAGUAAAUAUAUAUAUAUAUAUAUAUAUAUAUAUAUAUAUAUAUAUAUAUAUAUAUAUAUAUAAUGUAGAACUAUGAGGAUAUAUUUCAGAAUGAAAACAUUGCAUAAAAAUUCAGGCUUUUGUUUUUCAUUGAUAAAGUCCAACUUGUGCAGGAAAACUGUUGGGUGAGUUCUGGUUGUUAAACACUGUCACAUUUUGUUUGCCAAAGAGUUUUUAAAAAAACAUUAAAAUUAACGUGAAAUCAAAAACAUGCAAAGAAUAAAUAAAAAUACACUGCCUUUUGUUUAGUGCUUAACAAACCAGGAAGUGCUAAGACAUCUCAGUCAAUUAGAGUCCUUUGAUUACUUCCAAAGUGAGAGCUGAGCAAUACCAUAUAUGAUUGGCUAGCAAAAGUUUGUAGUUCAGUACUUGGUAGCAGUUUUGCUCUUUAAAAUACACAAGCUAACAGAAGCUACACUGUGUGUCCUUCUCCUUGCUAUGCUUGUGUAUCCAUAAUCUAUGGCAACUUGUUACCCCGUAACCAUGUCAUUUUUAUGUGCCACCUCCAUGCUCUCCUUAUGUGCUCCCUCCAUACCCUUCUUGGGUCCACUACCUCAUAUCCCCCCAUGUGUGCUCCAUACAGAACUUAAAGGGUUGUUGUCAUGGCAGUUUACACUUAACAGAAUUGAGAUCCUCUUCCCAUUUCAUCUAUGCAUUGUGCAAGCUAUAUCACUAGCAAUUGUAUAGAUUUGUGUAAAAUCUAUGUCUGUCUGCCUUAGUACACGUCUACAGGCAGUCUGUAAGCUGUUCUUAUGUCCAGCUUCAAAUUCUGCAUAUCAAGUGUGUCCUGUGCAUGUCAUUGGUAUCAGCGACAUGUCUAAAGGACCACUAUAGGCACCCAGACCACUUCAGCUCAAUGAAGUGGUCUGGGUGCCAGGUCAAUCUAGGGUUAACCCUGCAGCUGCAAACAUAGCAGUUUUAGAGAAACUGCUAUGUUUACAUAAGGGUUAAUCCAGCCUCUAGUGGCUGUCUCACUGACAGCCGCUAGAGGCACUUCCGCGCUUCUCACUGGGAUUUUCACAGUGAGAAGACUCUACUGUCCAUAGGAAAGCAUUGAGAAAUUUGGCGGAUGACGUCGGAAGAGGGAGGAGAGUCCCCAGCGCCGAGGGAGCCCGGCACUGAAGAAAGGUAAGUGUUUAACACCUUAACCCAUCUUGAGCCCAGCGGUGAGGGGAACCCUAUAGUGCCAGCGGUGAGGGGAACACUAUAGUGCCAGGAAAACAAGUUGAAUGUAAAGUCUUACUAGAGGAGCCAUGCCAAGUGUGGGGAAGCCUUACUAGGAUUUCCAAAUGGAGACUGUCUACCGAAGCAGGUUGCCACCCAUGAAGGCGAGCUAAUGGCAGCACUGGAUCCUUUAGGAAGUAGGUAAUUAUGGUGAAAACUCACCAGUGCUCCACAGAAUGUGGGUAAAAAAAAGUAUCUUUUCGGACUGCACAUAACAAGGGGAAAACAUUGCCCAGGAGUAUAAAAAUAGAUUACAGUUUUACUUUAGCUUAGGAGUAAAACAUCAAUUUCCUUCUCCGAGGUGAGUAAAGCAUUAUCAAGGCUGAUUUUAAUUAUAAACAAGUGUUUUGUCGUUCAGCAUACUGAAAUUAAAUUGAUACAUGUGUUUUGCACUUAUCAGAGAAGUGAACUAAUUACUUCUCAAAGGUAGCCACUAGAUUGGCAGACCCAGAGGUUGCAUUAGAACACAUGGUAGCACCCUGCAGGGGAUUGAAAAAUUAGGUAAUUCUGUUCAGUAUCUGACAGGCACAUAGCCACAUCACAUAAACCAUCAAAGUGUAACUGGUUACUCUCAUUUUACAAAGGAUGAAAUCAGAGUAAAAUUGUUGGAAUUGUGAGAUAAUUUAAGAAAUCGGUACUCUUCCUGAAUUAAGAUUGCACUGGUGAACACUAGGUUGCAUGAUACAGUUCAAGGGAAUUGCUAGUAAUUGCAUUUUCAGCUACAAUGGGCGUCAUAGUGCAUUCAGUAAAUUCUUACAAAUUUCAGUAGUACAUUUCAUGAAUAGUGCUCUUGCUAAGGUAAGUACUUUUUCUAUUCAAGUGAUGGGGUCUAUAGUUCCAUAAGUAGAGUUUUAAUGUACACUCUAAGCACCAUAACCACUACAACAUGCACUCGAAGAAAUCCAUAGACAUAAACUAACAUGCAUUCAUAGACACACACUAUGAGAUAACAUUGACACACACUCAUUCUCAAGCACACAUUAGGACACACACAUAGCCUUUGUAUAUGUACUAAUGUGUGUACGUGAGUAAGUGUGUGUCUACAGUGUCUCCUAGUGCAGGGAUGGGCAACCUUUGGCACAAAUUUAAAGGAACAGUAUGGGAUAAGGAACACACACAUGUAUUCCUGACCCUAUAGUGUUUAAAACACUAUCUAGCCCCCUGAUUCCCCCUUGUUACCUUAAAUAUAGUAAAUAUAUUGUUAUUCCAGUCUGCUGGUGCUGGCGUAUCCCCUGAUCCACCCCUUUGGUUGACAUCAUCAGAAUUGAUGAUAUCAGCCAAUCACAAUACUUUCCGAUAGGCGGGCUAGGGGGCAGAUGCAAACACUGUCCUGGUCAAUCAGCAUUUCCUAAUAGAGAUGUAUUGAAUUAAUGCAUCCCUAUGACGGACGUUCAGUGUCUCCAUGCAGAGGGUAGCGACACUGAAUGUCAGUGCUGUACAUUAUGCAGCAUUGCCCCAGGAAGCACCCAACUAACACCCAAAGUAGCCAUUUAAGGUGUGGCCGGUGGAGUUAUCACAAGUCUGUAAUGUAAACACUACAUUUUCUCUGAAAAAUCAGUGUUUAAUGCAAAAAGCCUGAAGGGAGUGAUUAUACUCACCAAAACAAAUACAAUAAGCUGUAGUUGUUCUGGUGAUUAUAGUGUCCCUUUAAGUAAUGUCCAAACAUAUUUCAAGCAGCAAUUUCCAUCUGUUAUAUAUUGGCACAGUGGAACCUCGGAACUCGAACGUAAUCCGUUCCAGAAGGCUGUUCGAGUUAGAUUUGUUCAAGAACCAAAUCAACAUUUCCCGUAGGAAUUAAUGUAAAUUUGUUUAAUCUGUUCCAGACCCCCACAAUUACAUGGAUGGGGAUAGGUAACUGUUCUUCUGGCAUUACAUACAAAAGCAUAUAAAAUGGCUGUAUCAGGUUCAAAAUAUCUGAUACCCCUCUUUCCUCUGCUUGUAUCCUUAUUUCCAUAGUCCCUCUUCCCUUACUUGUGUCCCUUUGUCCUUUGAUAUCCUUCUCCUCAUAUUUUCUUCUAUCUCCAUGCAUACUAAUUCUGUCCAUAUCCCUUCACCCUUUACUUGUGUCCCUCUGCCCUCUGGUUUUCCUCUCCCUAUAUUUUCCUCUGUCCCUUUACAUAGUCCAUCUGCCCAUAUUUCCUCAUCUCACGCUUGUAUCCCAUGCUUCCCCACACUUGUGUCCCUCUGUGAAUGCCGCGUGAUGUGUUCGGGUACCGAGGAUCGUUUGCGUAACGAGACAUUUUUUACGCAAAAUUUUAGUUCGACUUCCGAAUUGUUCGAGAACGGGAACGUUCGAGUUCCGAGGAUCCACUGUAUUAGGACAGCAGCCCUAUUAACAGGAAUCUGAUCAAAUAUGGAGUAGACUAUACCUGCUAUACAUUAGCACAUUAGAAGAUCUCUCCUCUAGUUCACCCCAUCCCCACCUCUGCCUAGCUGUAAGCUCAGUUUGAAUCAGCUGUAUAGUGCAAAUUGCUUCACACAAUAGGCCAGGGAUCUCAAACUCUGCCCGCUCCCCUCCCAUAUGUUAAUGGGCUACAACUCCCAGAAAUCUUUGAAUGCAAUAGAAGUUUAGAGAAUCGUGGAAGUUGUAGUUCAGCAGAGUAGAAGUUGCCAGUGGACUUAAAAUCUUGUUACAAAUGACGAGUGGAAAAAUACAUCUGAGAACAUGCUUUAAUUGAGCCAAGCUGUUUAUGCUGUUUUCUCAUAGAUGUGUUUGUAGAUGUGUGUCUAUGCAAAGUGCUUCACAGCAGAAAGAUUUGGUGGCAAGGGACAGAAAAAUAAAAUAAAUAGCAGUGAGUGCACAACUAGCAGCAGCUGUGUACCUCUCUGUGUGAGCUCUGGGUAGCAGGGACCUUUCCCUGUAUUAAGGAAAGCUCUGUAUCCGAAUAAACUGUAAAAUACUAGAUAGCAUUCAUUCCUGCAGAGGAACUGUAAACGGCAACACUGUAUUCUAGCAACCAUGAAACGAUUAUAUGGUAAGAUUUUGAAUGCUUUUGUAGUAUGGUGUAUGAUAAGGGAUAGAAAGAAAGAUUUUGCACACUGCAAUAAAAGCCUGCAUUGCUGUGCAUGAUAUAGAACUGUGCAUCCUUGGGGCUAAGUACAUGCAUUUAUUGUAUGUGAGCCCAUGUACAGAUAUUACAUGAACAUUCUGUUGAUCGUUUUAGGAAUCUACAUUGCAAAAAAAAAAAUGCAUUUUACAUAAAUGUUUAAAGGAGCAAUUCAUGCACCAUAACCACUACAGUGCGCUGUAAUCGUUAUGGUACCAAGAGUAAGAGUCUCCUGACACCAGUGGUGGCUCUAGACUUUGUGAGGCCUUAGGCGAAACUGAAACAUGGGGCCCCCACUAACACCCAAAGUUAAAAUAAAUAGGCGUUCAUUGUGUGUGUAUAAGGUGCAUUAGUUAUAUUGAAGGGCAGUCUUGCAGUGCUGGAUACAGAGAAUAGGUCUCUGCAUUUAUUGUUUAGAGACUUGCGGUGUCAUGGCGCCCUGUGCCGCUGCGUUGUGAGCUCUCUGGCAGUAGUUGUAGCAUAAUUUGCAAACUAAAUUAUUUUGCAAUAAACACAUUUAAUUAGCAAUUAUGCUAAUCGUUUAUACAUGAAUGCAGGGUAUGGUUACAUUGCGUUCGUGUAUGCAUAAGUGCAGGAGUGUGUAUUUUUGAGUGUGUCUGACAAAGAGUAUCCUUGUGUGCGAUUUUAUGUCUUUGUGAGCAUGUGUCUGGGACAGUGUGUGUGUGGGGAAGCUGCUUGCGGUCUGUUGUGUUAAUGGGGGCUGCCUGUGGCCUUUAUGCAUGUGUGUGUGUAUGAUGAAUGUCUUCAGUUUGUGACUGUGACAAGGUGAAUAAAAGGGUAUCUGUGGCAGGAUGAGUGUGACAAGGUGAAGGGGGUUAAUGAGACAGGGUUGGGGGGGUGAGUGUGACAGAAUGAGGGAGGAUGAGAAUGGUAGGGUCUGACACCCUACUAGAAUACUUUUUCACACCAUUAACAGAAUGGUUUGAUUACUUACCCAGGUUCCCAGAUUCCAGAACUGCAUCAAGCUUCUCAUUUGAGCUAGGCGUAGUUUGAUACAGGGCCUCGCUCAUUGGCUGACAGCACCCGGCUGGUAUUCUCAGCCAAUGAGAGCAGAUGUUAAUCGCCCUGCUUAGCUCAGUGGAGCAGGCCAGCUUCUGUCUGCUAGUAAGACGGUAAGGAGACAAGUGGACAUGUGAGUGCUAGGAGGCAGUCCUUAGAAAGUAAAAUUCUUUGGGCAGACUCACCUCCUUUUUGGGCAUGAUCCGCGUCAGUGGCCCACCUUUUUACACCACCCAUUAACUUCUUGCUUCACUGGACACUGCUGUUAGGGGGUAUGGAUUUACUUAAAAGAUGAAAGCAUGAAUUAGAGAGAGAUUAGCAUAUUUUAAGACAAUCUGAGUUUUUUAAUAGCUGUAUCCUAUGAGUUUCCCUCCAGCAACAUCUCCACCAGAUACAUAACGCUUGAGAGGUAUGACUGUUUUAGUGUUUUUAGUCGAUAAUAUUCUGUACUUAGGCCCCUCAUAAUUGUCAGCACCAGGCCCACUGGGCUCUUAAUCUGGCCCUGGUCACAUGCCAGGUUAAAAACAUACGAAAAAUUUUCAUCAUUAGUAUAUGUUAGGGAUCUGCCUUUUCUCCAUGAAAACAGUUACUAAUCAUAUUUUUUUGGUUUAUUGUAAUUUCUGCAGAAUAGUCCCACAGAGCAAACUGAAAACUGCUUGCACCCUGCAUUACUUUUCAGCAAGUUUUUAUUUUUGUAAAUUUAAAGAGGGGCCAUCACUUUUCUGGAAAUUACACUAAUACAAUUUAAUAGAACAGUGAAAAUCCCCUAUAACUUAUGUUAAUCUUUUUUUUUCAUAUGAUGCUCUGUUUUCUUUUAAAUGUAUGUUAUAACGGCUCUGUCAUAUCCCACUCCACCCCCACUACCCUCUCCUCUUCCUCUCGAAAAUGAAUAUCUCAUAAAGAUAAAAUCUAUAUAAAAUACUAACAUUGACUGUGUUGGAAUUUUACUCAAAUUCCAACACAGUCAAAUGCUAAACUAAGACAAAGUAGGGACUGCUAUGUCUUAAAAUGUUUCCUAUACUUGAAGUAACUUGACAAAAGAUGAAGCUAAUGCCUCGUUUCCACUGAGCGGAGUGGUUCAGUUCAGUUCGGUACGGUUUGCUAUUUUGGGUGUUUCCAUUGUGAAAGUGGUCCAUAUAAGCAAACCGUACCGAUCCAUUCAGGGUCCUGCUUCAGAUGUAGGGCCAUAGGAAAUGGAACGGUUCGGUUAGGGCGGAGCUACUAUACAAUCCAUUGAUUGGUGGACAGGAAGAGCAUUUUUUCUAAACCCUGCAUGGCCCCUGAAGGUCUGGCUUGCAGUGGAAACACUCACCAGAAUGAGUGUUUUGGUGGCAAGGGUUCCAAACUGUACCGACCCGAACCAACCCGCUCAGUGGAAACAAGGCAUUAUCCAAUUGGAUCCUCAAUAGACCUCUGUUGUACUCUCACACAUGCCCCUGUACUCUUGCGCAUGUCCUAGAGCUCAGGCCAUAAGCAGGCCCUCCUCGAGCUCUUGUAUGGUCCUUUAAAUAAAAAUUACUGUCUGGGGAACCGUGUUCUAAUUGGCAGCAUUUUCGGGAUUUUCAGCAUGUGCUCUGACUUCCUCACAGAGCAUCGGAUCAGAAGGUGCAAAUAAUAUGGUCUGCUCCACCACAGACCUGAAGCUACACUGGGAGCCUGCCUUUAACUCUCCCACAUCAUCCCUCUUCUCGGGUCGCCAAUGUUGCGUUGUAUGUAUUGGUAAAGAAGCUCCCACAGAGAAGUAGAGAGACAAAAGGCCAAGCAAGGAGCUCUUUUAAAUUCCCUACAGCUUGAGGAAGGCUUCAUCAAACCUUGUCUGUACCAGUGCACUAGACAGCAGCCUUGUUGGCCUGAUGGGUAAUCCAGCUCUGCAGACACCUAAGCGAGACUGUAAUUUUCCAAUGUUCCCAGAUAAUCUAAAUAAAAGUUUCUUAUAAUUUAAAUGACCAGAUACAGGCAUUAGUUUGAUAAUAAUUAUGAUCUCUGCCUUUAUAACGAAUACAUAUAUAAAUGAUACGGCUACAAAACUGUGGAGUAGAUUAAAACUGUGGAGUAGUGGUUUUAAUCUCUUCAUUUUAUUUAAUUAAUUUUAUGAGUGGUCACAUAGUACCGGUAUAAUAUGACGUUGCUUAUUCAAAGAAACAUGCUCCUUUAUUCUAGUCCAUUCGAUAUUACUGUAGAAGAGACACUUUUCCUUAGCCGUGAGCUCAGGAACAAGGGCUACAUGAGAACAGCUCAGUGGGAGCCCAGCACUGACAGUAUGUAGGCAAGUGUGAGACAUAUAACACAGACAAGACUGCACACAGCAGGAAUCCUGCUAUAGCUACCUGCCUGGAAACAAAUCAACACUCGAGAGCAUAAUUCUAAUAUAUUAUUUACAAAACAAUUCCCAAGCCAUGUUCAUACAACAUAAAGAUACAGUAUCGACACAUAGGUUUGCCCAAAGUUAUAACUACGGUACAUUUUUAAGGAAAUAUUCUUUACUUUAGUGAAAAAUGCAUACAAUUUCCUGUUUGUUUUUUCCUGCAGAAAAAAUAUAAUCAUAAUAUAUUAUUUUACUCCGCCAGAGCAAUAUGUAAACACAGCCCAUUGCUAAUAAAAGCAAGAAAUGUGAUUGCCUUUCAUAUCAAAGUACAAUUCACAGUACAUUUAUAAAACCACACACAGUAAACACUCUCCAACACAAAGUAACAUGAUAACUUAUUCACCAAGAAAGUGUCAAGUGAAAGUGUCUCUCUUAUCUACACUUGCUUUUUGGACUGGGCAUUCCCUCGACACCCUGCUCUCCAAAAAAAUGUCAGUUAAUAGGGGCCCCUACUAGCCUUUUUUAAGCAGGGAAACAUGGUAUACAACCCCAUUAUGUAUGUAAGGUGGUAACACCUGGCCAAAACUUUAUGGUGCAAUUCUUAAAGGAUCAGCAUUUAUGAUCCUCAUUUUUUUGCAAGAUGGUACAGUAAUCAAGCCAGGGAGGAUUGGUACCUACUGCGUGCCCCUGGUCUGCAAAUUUACCAUUCAGCAUCUGCAGUGGAUUAUCAAAUAUGACAGUCAAGUGAAAGUCUAAUAAACAAGUCAAAAAUGAGGAAAAUAUAUUUAUAUUUAUUCUUCAGCAUCGGGACUCAUUUUUAUACCAAGAGCUGCCAUCAGGGAGUGCAGGCAGUUUUGAUAUGGGGUCUGCUCAGCUCAGCUAAAGGUACUUGGGAGAGCGAGUGGGUCUCUGUACAUGUGUGUAUGUGGCAGUGGGUAUAUGUGUGUGGCAGGUUGCAUAGGACAGUGUGAAUUUAUCCAUGUAUCAUUAUGUAUAUGGGUAUGUCUGGCAGUGUGUAUAUGUAUAACUGUCUGUCUAUGUGUGUGUGUUUGUGCAUGCCUGUGAGAGUGUAUGAUGGGUGGUCCAGCCAGUGGUUUUGUAAAGCUAAUAUAUUAGCUAAUAAAAUAGUGAUGUAGACUAUUUUUUAGACUAAGGCACACUUCAAUGAAAGAAAGUCCCACCUACUGUUUUUUUACACUUUUCAAGGGGUAUAAAUGUCAGUUUUGUUUGUAGCCUUACUAUUGACAUAUGUGUAGCGGAUGGCCAUGAGCUGCCCUGGGACUUGUAUUAUGUUUAACCUGUAUUCGUCUAUUUGCUAAAUGUAUAUGCAGUAAGGGAAUGCAUUCGUGUAAAAUACCAAAUUUCUAUGUGCUAAAUGUAUUGUAUUCGUCUGAAUGUUAGGUAGUUUCAUUCCCUUAGUUUGUUCGAAUGAAACUACCGAACAGUCAGACCUCCCCUGUGUGAAGUGUGCCUUCAAUUACCCGUUGCAACAUUGUUGCGAACGGGUAAUUGACAAGCUUUGUAGCAAUCCUUUGUUCUCGGGGGUGGCUGCCAUUCAGGAAACGAACACGUGGCGGCGGCCAUCUUAAACUCCCAAACAGCGGUGUUUUGCCGUCGAGUGUCUGGAACUCAAAACGGACACUCAACUAGGCGAACACCGCUGAGACCUCCAUCAGCCCAGUCCGUUCGGUUCCAAACUACCGAACGGCCCCUCGUUCGGUAGGCAUAAUCAACCGAACGAGGGGAUUCAGGCGAACCCUCCCCAGCCUCUAUAGCUGGAGGCUUUCAUGUACUUCAUUCGCCUGUUCCAGGACAAUCGCAUGGAGCCCAAUUCGGCUAGUUCAUGCAGUGCGGUCGGUCAUUUUAUUCCCUCCAUGAAAUUCCCAAACCCCUGGUCUGAUCUGGGUGAUUUUUGGAUAUGUUGUUCACCCAGAUCAGGGCUACCAGGGGAUGCAUAAUUUAAAGUGGUACCCCUAAGUUUAGGGGUACAUCCAGAAAUGGGGGGAAUUGCUGUACUGGAUAAGGGGAUUAUGAUGCCGCUUGAGGGGAGGAGAUGUGUGGGAGGUUACCAGGACAGGAUUGGCUAUUGUGUUAAUGAAUGUAAUCCCUCCCUUGCAUGGGAGCAUGCUUUAAAAGGCCACUGUGGAAUAAAGCUUUCAGUUCUGCUCCUGAUACUGUGUGUCGUCCAGUCAUUGGGAUUGCUGUACUAUUGGAUUAUUUUGCCUGUUGGAAACCUUGCCUGUGGAUUUAUAAUUUACUUGUUCCUGAGCCUCACUGGGAUCUUAAGCGGAGAUAAUCUGUGGAAUAUUGUAUCUCCGCUACAAUAUGCAACAUGUAUUACAUAUAUGUUUAGCUGUAUUGCUUUCAAAAUUUUAAUUUUAAUUAAUUGUCAGACAGUAAUUGCCAACACAAACACAAUCUUUUGAUGCUUCUGUUUCGUUGUCAUUUGCAAACUGAAUCCUAAAUAAAGUGUUAUAAAAUACAUUUUAGGACUUCCUUUAACAGCUAUAAUGUAAGUGUGUUUAAGGAACAUGUUGGGGUGACUUGCAGAACACCAGGUUCCAUAGCAUACUUGUUGAAAAUCACUGCUCAAAACGAAUUUAGACAUUGCAGUGCUAUAUUGUAUUAAAGUGUGGUUAAUGUAUAAAUAAGGGCAUGGCAGUGUUUUGUUUUAUCAAAAUAAAUUUAUUUUUUUCUGCCUCAUUGUUGUGUAUCCUAGCAGCUAGUUUUCCCAGAUUAGAAGAGCAAACAUGGAUAGAUCCAAAAUUUAAUAACAGAAAGAAAAUAGUUUAGAGAGGUAUGUAGCAAGUGCCAGGCCAGCAUUAAGCAAUAGAGAGAAGCAGCGAGAUAGUUAAUGGUAGGUAGGUUAUUUUGGGGAUGGCAUUUGCUCUCCUCUCCCCUCCAACCUUGUUUUGAAGAAUUUGAGGUCCAGGUAUUCCUCACUUUACGAAUUACCUGCUUUGCAGCUGCUCAGACUUAGGACCAGCUCUCUAGCACAGGGAUUCGAUAGGUUCUCCACAUUAGAGAGCUGGUCUAUGUUCGGGGGAAUUCCCCCUAAUAUAGAUCUGCUCUCUACCGCAUGCUCUCCAGAGCAUUCUCACUUACCGACCAAUUCAUUUUACAACCAAGUCAUAAGAACGGAACCCGGUCGGUAAGUGAGGGCUGUCUGUACUUGUAGCAAAUGUUUUAUUUUCUUAUUUCCUUUCAAUAUAGUAUAUGGUCUUGAGGCAAUAUGCACAUAGGUCUCUGAUUAUCACAUGCACCAGGAAAUCUUUGCCAUUAAUUUGCCAAUAUGUGUGAGACGGGAAUGGCUUAUGUCCAUUUGCUUGUUGAUGUGUUCCAUAUAGACCAAGUGUGGCAUAUAUGGCCUAUAGACCAACACUCAUAUUUUGAAUUUAUUUUAAGGAGAAAUUGAUAUAUCAUAUCUUUUCAGGAAGUUUAUAAAAAAUAGUCACUCAGAAAAGUUCAUCUCAAUGAAAUAGUCUGGGUGCAGUAGUCAUGUUCUUUUAACAUUACAAUGUAAAGCAUUGCAGUUUUUUAGAAACUGCGAUGGUCGCAUUGCAGGGUUAAAUCCACCUAUAGUGGCAGUCAUUAGUGGCACUUCUGCAGCACUGACCUAAUCAAAAGGUCUCGUGACAUGGAAUCCCACAGGAAAGCAUUGAAUACAAUGCUUUCAUUUGGGCAUGUUUGACUGCAUGCGCCCAGUGCGCAUACACAUUAGGCCCUCAACAGUCUAAUGUAUAUUUUGAAUAUUCAUUUUAGCACUUUAAUUUAUAGUAUAAUUAAAGGGACACUAUAGUCACCUGAACAACUUUAGCUUAAUGAAGCAGUUUUGGUGUAUAGAACAUGCCCCUGCAGCCUCACUGCUCAAUCCUCUACCAUUUAGGAGUUAAAUCCCUUUCUUUAUGAACCCUAGUCACACCUUCCUGCAUGUGACUUGCACAGCCUUCCAUAAACACUUCCUGUAAACAGAGCCCUAUUUAGGCUUUUUUUAUUGCAAGUUCUGUUUAAUUAAGAUUUUCUUAUCCCCUGCUAUGUUAAUACCCUGCAAGAGCUUCCUGUAUGUGAUUAAAGUUCAAUUUAGAGAUUGAGAUACAAUUAUUUAAGGUAAACUACAUCUGUUUGAAAGUGUAAACAGUUGUUUUUUUCAUGCAGGCUCUGUCAAUCCUAGCCAGGGGAGGUGUGGCUAGGGCUGCAUAAACAGAAACAAAGUGAUUUAACUCCUAAAUGACAGUGAAUUGAGCAGUGAAAUUGCAGGGGAAUGAUCUAUACACUAAAACUGCUUUAUUUAGCUAAAGUAAUUAAGGUGAUUAUAGUGUUCCUUUAAUAAAUGUCAUAUAUACAAUUUAAAAAUAUAUUUAUAUAUCUACAAGCACAACUAGCAUAUUUGCCUCAGAGCUUGGUGAGCAAAAUAUGAUAUGUGUGCACAACUAUAAAUUUCUAUUUACAAUACUUUAAUUGCUGUGAUCGUGCCAUAGCAACAAAUAACAAGCUAACCAAUUAGCUAUUGAUUUUAUCACAAUGGUUCCAUUUAGCCAUUUUCUGCUUUCACGUUACGAAGUACAUUUUAUAGUGUUUUCUUACUUUUUUAGUUAACAGAAUGAUGGUUAUAAUCAUUAAUGGUAGUCCUUUUACUGUUUUUUUUAAAAUGUGUUUGUUUGUGUAUAGGUCAAUAAACUGCAAACUUCCAUGGGUACCCUUAUUUGUUGUUGUUUUUUACUUUUAGAACUCUAAAAAAAUGCCUUAGUCUCUCAGCACAUCAACAAUUUAUCUGAAUGAAAGAAGAAUCUACAUUUUAAAACUUCCCUUAAAGACAUUAUUACCCUAAAGACUUAUAAAUAUCACAAUAUAAUUUCUUGUAUGUGAACAUACACUAUGUACAUUUAACUGACAACCAAAGAAACAAGCCAAGUGUGUCUAUAUGUUGUUAGUUUCAUUCAGGGGAGGGCUGGCAGCCUUAGGCCUGGGGGGCAAAUCCAGUCAAGUGGCCCAUUGCACCACCAAAUCAGUGCAAUGGUGCCCACCCUUUCCUGGUUUUAUAACGGAUAUUGAUGUUAUGCUAAUCAGUAGCUCUUUGCCAUACCCACUCCUUCACGGCUCUGAUUUUCAAUGUUGUCAGAGCGCAGGCUGAGAAUCUCUGAGCCUGUGCUCUGACUCACUAACUGAGCGUCGGAACCACGAGGGAGAGGCUAUAAUCUGACUGCACCUACUGCUGUUGCACACGAGUGGACCACCAGCGAAUUGUUUAAAUUGAAUAGGCUGGUGUCCCCAACUUGUGAGCUGUGUUGUCCGCGGGGCGCCUCUAUUGUGAUGGCACCCUGCGUGACCGCACAGUGUGCACACCCCAACGGCUGGCCCUGCUGACACACACUGAUGUUACUACUUAGAAAUCCCUCAAUAUUAAUACAGACAUCAGAGUAAACACUAAUAAACUGUGGAAACAGAGCUGAUCCCCCCAAAUUUAUAAAGAUUUGCUUACUGGAUUUGUUGUAAGAUUAAAUCAUGCCUCCUCCUCUCUCUCUCCCAUGCGCUGCUCUGUAGGCUGGGAGGAAGUGAAGAGUAAUCACAAUCUCCCAGCACAGCGGCACCUGUGGCUGCAUGGGGAACAGCUGUAUUUGCCGUCCCCCAUGUGACAUCACAAUGCCCCACCUAUAUGAGCUGCCAUACGAACUAACGCCAGUGCUGCCCACAGUGCGUGUUUACAUUAAAAAGCCUGCAGGGACCGGCUAUAGACACCAGAACCACUUCAUUAAGCUGCAGUCGUUCUGGGGACUAUAGUGUCCCUUUAAUGUGAGGUAAAUUAUAGAUUAGUGUCACUAAUAAUAUACCUAGAUUGCCUACUUACAACAAGAUGAGGAUGAUGAUGGGCUGCAGUUUGGCUCCACUGGUCUGGUGUAGAACAGGAUCUCUGGAGGCUGUUUGAAACUGUGGUCACAAAAUUCAAUGUUCUGGGAGAAUUGGAAGCAGCUCCAUUUUUGGGGGGCCCCUUACACAGCUCAAGUUCUGGGCCCCAGGGCCUGACUGUGAGAAUGCCCACAAGGCCCACUCAUAANNNNNNNNNNNNNNNNNNNNNNNNNNNNNNNNNNNNNNNNNNNNNNNNNNNNNNNNNNNNNNNNNNNNNNNNNNNNNNNNNNNNNNNNNNNNNNNNNNNNUCCUCCCCUUCGCUUCUCCUUCCCCCUUUUCACCUCUCCUCCCCUUCACCUCUCCUCCCCUCCCCUCCCCUUUUCAUCUCUCCUUCCCCCCCUUUUCACCUCUCCUUCCCCCUCCCCUGUAGCGUGGCCGAGCUGCUCUGCUGUCCGCGGUGCCCGGCUGGACUGAUAGGAAGGAGUGUGCACUUACUGUCAGUCUGACCAGUUACAGGAAACAGAAACUCCUGUUCCGCGCGGAGUUUCUGUUUCUUGUAACCGGCCGGACUGACAGGAAGUGCACACUCCUUCCUAUCAGUCCGGCCGGGCACCGCGGACAGCUGAGCAGCUUGGCCACGCUACAGGGGAGGGCAAGGGAGGAGAGGAGCAGCCGCAGCCGCCUGAGGCUCUUCACAGAGCGCUCAGGCGGCUGCAGCAUUUAAAGGGCCGGCCCUGCAGCGGCCGCUCCUAACAGAAUUUAGGGCGGCCUGGGGGGCAUUUGCCUCCCUGCCCCCCGGCCCAGCCUGCCCCUGGUUUCAUUUAUAAUCUUUAAUGUUACAUAGAAUGUGACGGCAGAUAAGAACCAUUCGGCCCAUCUAGUCUGCCCAAUUUUCUAAAUACUUUCAAGAUAAGGCCAGGGACUAAUGAAAGUAUUUAGUAAAUUGGGCAGACUAGAUGGUUCUUAUCUGCCGUCACAUUCUAUGUAACAUUGAAGAUUAUAAACGAAACUAACAACAUAUAGACACACUUGGCUUGUUUCUUUGGUUGUCAGUUAAAUGUACAUAGUGAGCAAAAAAUAAAAAUAAAAUGAAUGCACCCUCCCACCCGCCUCUACUGAAACCAUCCAUUGGUUAGCAGUUAUCAUUUUGCAACUUUGACUUAUAUCAAGAAGAUAUCUAGGACUGAGUACUCUGUUAUGAAUAAUGUUCAAAUAUCCGGUGCUUGUACCCCUAGCCAAUAACUAUACUAUCCAAGAAGAGACGCCCUCAAGUUUUUUUUUUUUUAAUCCAGAAUGAUAACAAACAAGGUCGACAUUUUCAGACAUUUAUGCGCUCUGUUUCACUAUGCUCCAUCUAGUUGGUGUCAUUAUUGCUUAGACAGACUAUAUUAUUUGCCUUUGCAGUGGUGUAUCCUGGUUUUGUGCUGCCCUAGUCCGGGUGGGUAUUAGACCUGAAAGCAGACCACUGCAUGCUGCCAGAACAGGGACAAGUCACCAUCACAGUGGGAGAUAUUCCUCAAUGAGUAGCCCACAUGAAAAGUUAAGCUAAUUGCCUGGCUAACAAAAAGCAGAACAAUACUGGUUAUGAAUUCCCCUCACACGGGAACAACACCAUCUAACUACCAACUGAUCAUCUGCCUCCCCAAAACACGGAAGGUCCUGUCAGGCAUCACAGCUUUCAAGAUUGAUGGGUAUAUGAGCCAAUACAUCAGAAGGCAAUAGGAAACAACACCAGAUGAUCAAAACACCAAUUGCUGGUAGACCAAACAGCCACACAGGAUUCUAACACCAUACAGACCAAUUUUUGCACUGCCUAGAUUGACUACAAGAAAUCCUAUGCCACGAUGCCACACACAUGGAUACUGGAAUGCUUGGCUCUAUACAAGGUCAGCAAGACACAAGAGCCUUCAUCAAUAACUCGAUGGGCAAAUGGACAACAACUUUAGAAGCCAAUUCCAGGACAAUGACUUCAAGUGAAUAUCAAAUGUGGCAUAUAGCAAGGUGAUGCACUAUCCCCAAUGCUGUUCUGCAUAGAUCUCAACCCACUUAGCCAGAUCAUCAUGAAGAGUGGAUAUGGAUACAGGUGCAAUAGUGGAGUUUCCAUCAGCCACCUACUCUACUUGGAUGACAUCAAGCUGUAUGCCAAGAGUAAGAAGAACAUUUACUCAAUGAUCCAAUAACUAGGAUAGACAGCAAGAGCAUCAAAAUGUUGUUCAGGCUCUAUAUGUGUGGGUGGAUAAUAGCAAAAAAAGGUAAGAUGAUCUGGAGAAAAGGAGAUCAAGUACCAGAAGGUCAAAUAGGAGUUGUAGGGAACAUCUACAAGUACCUAGGGAUAACACAAACACAUGACAACCGUGACCAAGAUGCAAGAAGGAUAGCAACAUCCAAGUACCUCCAGAGAGUCAGACAUUCUGAAGUCCUAGCUCAAUGGCAAGAAUAAGAUCAAAGCCACCAACACAUAUGCCCAACCAGUCUUUAUGUAAUGCUGCUGGAAUAAUCACCUGGUCAAGAGAAGAGCUAGUCAUCGUGGAUGCCAAGACCCAGAAACUACUCACUAUGAAUGGAGGAUUCCACCUGACAUCCAGUACCCAGAGACUGUACACCAAAAGGAAGGAAGGUGGUCGGGGCCUUAUGAGUGUCAAGGUAACAGUCCUGGUUGAUACACAAAGCAUCCACAAUGAGCACAAAGCAUCCACAAGUACAUCAUGAAGAUGGCUCCUAAUGAUGAAUUGCUUAUUGAAUUCCUGCGACAACAACAGAUAGAAGAUGCAGAAAAGAAGGUUCCAUGGGAAAACUAAACUCUUCUACCACAAAGGGUAGUCAAAAAUGACAGGGUUAAGAUCCUGUGGGAUGUUCAGAUCCAGGCAGACAAGCAAGUAACCAACCAACCUGACAUUGUGGUGGUAGAUAAGGAAAAAAAGACUGCAGUAGCGGUGGAUGUAGAAAUACGCAGUGACUAUAACAUCAGGAAGAAGGGACAUGAGAAGAUGAACAAAUACCAAGGACUGAAAGAUGAGCUAGGAAGGAAAUGAAAAGUAAAGAUAGUAGUAGUCCCAGUUGUGAUAGGAGUUUGGGAGUGGCUUCAGCAGAUUCCAAAUGGAACAUCAGAGAUCGCUGUCCAGAACAGUUCAGUUCUAUGAACAGCUUAGAUACUGCACAGAACCCUCAGACUCCCAGGCUUCUGGUAGAGGACCGAGAAUGAGGAAUGCACAUAAAUAUCACCCAGACGGGUGAGAAAAUUCAAUUAUAUAAAUCCAGCCCAGUUGCUACCUAAUGCCUGUCUUCUACAGUGCUGUGUCGCUUGACAACCUAGCACAACUACCACUGCAUGUAAUCAGCAUUAGCAUUGUACUUACCCUUGGGUGAAGAAGGCAGAUUGCCCCUGCUGAUAUGUGCCUUCACUGCAGAUUCAGAGUUUAGGGCCGACAUCGUGGGCUGAAGGGGCGCUGCUGGAAUCAAUCUAUAUUCUCACUGUACAGCUCCCUUGCCAUCCUUUACUAGUGCCAGGUUCUGGGAUGUGACAUCACCCCAGCCCUGGCAUAAGUCUUCAGACUGAUCCCAGCAGCAAACCACAAGACACCAGCAAUAAGGUCUAAACAAAAAAAUAUCAAAUGUGUAUGAGUGUGUGUACAUAUGUGUGUGUGUGCAUAUGAAUGUGCGUGAAUGUGCAUAUAUAAAUUUUAGUGUGUGUAUUUAAAUUUGAGUAUGUGUAUAUGAAUGUUAGCGUGUGUGUGAAUAUGUGUCUGCACCUGAAUAUGCGUGUGUGUGUGUGUCAAUAAAAUAAACCAAAGAAGGGGGGAGGGGUUCGCCCCGGGUGCCACUCACUAGGGGGAUGCCCGGGGCAGACUGCAAUGCCUCUCCUGCGCCCAUCGCCGACACCGGCGGUCUGCAGCUCCGCACUGAGCAGAGCUGCAGACCAUGUGUCUCGCGAGCACUGCCCAAUCAGAGCAUUGCCGCGGGUUACCAGUCAAUGCAUUUCAUUUAUAAGUGAACUUUAACAAGACCAGGGUAUGUGCUGCCCCUAAAGGAGAGGCUCUUAUAUACCAGUUAAGAUAUGGAAAGGGCCCUCUUUCAGUAAAACAAUAAAACACACAAGAAACGUGUAUACAUUCAAAGAGAUAAACAAUAACAAAUCAUGAAUUAUACAGUAUAUAUAUAUAAACCCUCAUUCUUAACAAAAUGAAAACAUAAGACAGUGAUUAAAAAUGGAAAUACAUGGAAAAUAUUUUAUUUAUAAUAACAAUAAUGGAAAGAUUGUGCUGAAACUACAGGGAUAUAAAAAAAUAUAUGAAUGAGAGAUAUCAAUCAUAAUGUAUAAAAAUCCAAUUCGUCAUUUAAGGCUCUCGGGGUGGUAUCUCCCUCUAUCAGAAUGUGACCCCACUGGGGGUGCAUUCAAUUAUCAUAAUAGAUAGGGACAUGGCAUCCCCCUCUGACACUCUUUAAAGUACUAGAAUUCAGAUGUAAAAUAGACCUCCGUUGUUUACAAAAAUGAUCUAUUAGUUUUUUCCAUUUAUAUUGAUACAAUAUAUAAAAUUGCUUCUCCAUUUUGGCUUUAUUUUUGUUAAAUAAAACAUGACACUGUGUAAUAUGUCAUGUGUCAUUCAUCUGAGGCUGUACUAUUUACCUAAUUUUAAGACCUGCUAAGGAACAGAGGAUUUUUAUUAUGUCCUGAUAUGUAAAACCAUAGAAAUCAAAGAGGGUGUACUUUUUUUCCCCAUGAAGGUAUGUGGCCAGUGUGGCUGCAACCCACACCUGUCACUCUUGCCAGCCCUCCCCAGCUUUGACACAAUGAGUGUUUAUAGAAUAUGGGAUAUGUAUAGGUAGAUUCUACUGUUAUUAUGUCAAAUGCAUUGAAAUGCCUCUUUUUCCACUUUUGAGUUGAUCCCUUGGAUAUUUUUAUUCAUGUUCUGCUUGAUUUAAAUGCUUUUCCUUCACCUAACUAUGCGUGUUACUUUACCCACACUGUAAUUAUUUGUCUUAUUGUUUAGAGUGUUAUACUGUUUUAGCAAGCUGAAACAUAUAAUAAUUUCUAUUCACAAAAGAAAACUAGAAAAUUAAAAACAUUUUGCAAAUACUAAAUCUGUGGGUGUCUCUCCAGCAUUGUGAAGUAAAAAGCAAAACCUAAGCAAAAGUCAAAAUAAAUACCUAAAUAAAAGUACAUUGUUUCCCCAUGUAUUUUAUGUAUAAGAACAGGCACUCCACCAUCUAAACAUUACAACUCCUAUCAUCUAGAGACUGACACUAACUGAUCAUGGUUUUUGUUCCGCAGCUCACAGAAAGUCAGUAAUUUCCUGGUCUCACUGUUAGACUGUUUUCACUCACCCGCAGGUAGCCGGGGAGGAUGGCUUUAAAGAUAACCUGUUUCAAAAAAUGGGAGCUAGAUCGCUACCAAGUCAGUGAAAAUGGGAAGUAACCCCAACAACAUCUACUUACGAGAAUGCAAAAAAAGGGUGCGCAAUAAAACUUUGCAAAAUAAAUAUGUGUAUAAAGAUAAAGUGUGAUCCAAAAAUAAACCCAAAAAGUACAAAUUGAGAAAAAAGUGUUAUUGACUAAACAAUGUUUAACCCACUUGGGCAAUAAUUAGGCAACACAGUUGAUUAAUGUAGAAAUUACACCUAAAACAGAAAAAAUAAAGUUACUAAUAGUAAAAAUCAGUAAAUUAAUAAAUUUAAAUGUUUAUGUAUGAAUAUCACUCACAAGAUAGUAGUGGUAUAAGUGCCAUAUUUUGCUGAGGGAGGACCAAUUCGUUAGAACAAGUUGGUCCCAACGCGCUUCUUUGAUCGGAGUUGAAGUCAGUCACUAGGAUGCUUCUUAUGAAACUUCAUUCCAAAAUAAAAUAAAUGAAAAACUGAACAAAAACAGCACAAAUGGGAAAGCAAAAAAAGUCAAAAUAUGUACACAGUUUAAAAGUCCAUCUUCCUUCACUUCCUCGAUCAGGGUGGACUCAGAGUUUUUAGCCUCUUUUUUGGGCUUUCUCCAGCACAUGUUGAGAUCUUCUAAGCACUUCUUUAAUAUACAUCAAGAUCAAGGGAAUGUGCAGGCAGUGAGAAUAUAGAAAAAAAAGUAACUGCUGUAAAUAACCAUUAGACUUAAAAAUAGUAACAUUUAAACUGAUAAGCAUAUGUAGUAAAAUAUUCCAUUUAGAAAUAAAAGGUAAAUAGAGGGAUAAUACAUCUUUGCAAUACAUAUAAUAAAACAUUACAAUAUACCAUAAAUAAAAUAAGCAACAACAACAAUUUAAAAUAGAUAUAAAAGGGGGCAGGGAUUGACCACCAUCUCAAGCUUUCGCACCGAGCCUAAGCUCCGCAAGAUUCUGGGCUGUAGCUUAACUAAUCGUGUUACACUGAAUGACAAUUAGUGCUGAGCUGGUUCCUCAUGCGGUUCGGGUGCUGCAGGGCACUUUGUCAGAGCAACUUAAAGCUUGUGGAGACAAAGCACCAACAUUCUUGUUUUGCAGCCUAGAUUGGGUCCUGCUGGGAGUUGCAGCAGACCUCUUCGGUGGGAUCCUGCAGGUUGAUCUUUGAACGGGCCCUGUAUCCCCCCCCUUCGGACCAGUGGGGGUAAGCCCGGUCCCCACCGCUAAAAUGUCUGGUGCCUACCUUCACCUUGGGCUUUUCCAAGGGCCAUAUUAGGAGCUCAUUGGGCCUGAUGCUGACAAUUAUGAUGGGCCUAAUUAUAGAAUCGUAUCGAUUGAAAACACUAAAACAGUUAUAGCUCUCACGUGUCAUGUAUCUGGCAGAUGUGGUGCAGAGUGAAACUCACAGGAUAUAGUUUUAAGAAAAUACAUACCCGGGGGGUGGGGGGGUGCAUCAUGACAUAGGCGCGUUCGACCGUCUGCGUGAGAGGAGAGGCGAUAUGGCGGAAGGGUGGCCGGUGAAGAUCCAUGCUGUUAGAGGAGAUGCUGACAGCCGUGUCUGUCAGGCUGGGGAAUACUAGCGACCAAACACUGCAGGCUGUCAGUGGAUGUUAGAGGACGGGAAUUGAGGGGGAUUGCGAGAAAUUGGAGAUCUCGGAGAGGAAGAUAAGAGAGGAGUGAUGAAACAUCAAUAACACCAAACUACAACAAAAGAUAAGUGCACUUCCUAAAUUUUGACUGUAAAAGAGGAGGAAUGAAGGUGGGGAUUUCAACAGUGUGUUGGACCCGAUGCUAGAUAAAAAGUUUACUUCAACAUUAUCACAUCACAAAAGAACAGAUAAAUAAGCAAAAUCUAUUAAGAGAAAUAUGAUUAAUUAUGAUUUUUUUGAUUUAUGGAGAAUGCUUAACCCUGAUUCACUGGAGUAUAAGUUUUUUUCGCGAGUACAUUUGUCUUACUCUCGAAUAGACAUUGUUUGGGGAAAUGCAAUAGCACUAACAAAUAUUAAUUACUUUAAGAUCCUUGAUAAUACCUGGUCAGAUCGUAGCAUUAAUAUGUGGGAGAUGAAAAACCAAUGGGCCAGGACCAAUCGUGAAACUUGGCGUAUAGAUGAUAAUCUUUUAAAGUAUAAAACCAAUUUAGAAUUAUUGGAUAAACAAAUUGGUGAUUUUUUUCUUGUCAAUGACCCAAACGAUACCUCAUACAUAAAUAAUUGGUGUGCCUUUAAAUCUACCAUGAGAGGAAAUAUAAUUAGUAUACAAGCAUGAUACAAAGCAGAAAAUAAUAAAGCCUUCCUGGCAUUUCAAGCAGAAUUAAAUAAAGCCUCAAUUAAGAACAAGCAGACCCCUUCUAAGGAACAUGCAGAUGCCCUGAAAAUUGCUCAAAAUAAAAUUAAUAAUCUCCUCCUAGAAAAAAAUGCAAGAGUUUUGAAUAAACUUAAGUCUAACUUUUAUUAUAAGGGGAACCGAGCAGAUAGGAUAAUGACAAAAAAGUUAAGAGAUAAAAUUGGAUCUAGUAAGAUAGUGAAGAUAGCGGAUGAUGAAGGUGAAUACUUGGACCCCAAAAAGAUAGGAGAGAGAUUCAAUAAGUAUUACGAGGCUUUGUAUAAUCUUCCUCCCUUGUUUGUAAUAGAGGAGGAUUAUUUGAGUGAAACUGUCACACCUAGUAUUUCGUUAGAACAAAUAAAUUAUUUAGAUACCCCCAUCACAGUUCAAGAAGUGGAGGAGGCAAUAGGCAAUUUAAAAUCGGAUAAGACCCCAGGUCCAGAUGGUUUUUCAAAUUUAUUUUAUAAAUCUUUCAAAAAUCGUAUAGCCUUGCACUUAACUAACAUGUUUAAUGAAAUAGUGUCAGUAGGUAAAUUUCCCACCGAAAAUGCUGAGCGCAAAUAUCCUCCCAAUCCUUAAGCCAAAUAAAGACCCCUUAAAGGUGGAAAAUUAUAGACCCAUUUCGUUAAUCAACACAGAUGUUAAGAUCUUUUCAUCAGUUUUUGCCCACAGAUUAAAGGGAGUCAUGGUUAACAUCAUAAAAAAUGAUGAAAUUGGGUUUGUACAGGGGAGGGAUUUGGUAGAUAACUCCAGAAGGCUGUUAGAUUUAAUAGACGCUGCUCGAAGAAAUAAAAAGCACUUAUUCCUAUUGGCAGUUGAUGCUUAGAAGGCUUUCGACAGGGUCGGUUUUUUAAGGAAAACCUUGGGAAAAUUUUGUAUACGGGGAUGGAUGCUUAAUGCAAUUCUUGCGUUAUAUGCGGGUCCAACAGCAAGAACAGUGGCUCCGAACAUAUGCGCAGAAUGGUUUACAUUAAAUAAUGGAACACGGCAAGGCUGUCCUUUGUCGCCUACUCUGUAUAUUAUGACAAUGGAGAUCCUCGCUAUUAAUAUUAGAAAUAAUUCCCGAAUAAAAGGUAUUAAUUAUAGAGAGUCGUUUGAGAGGCUGAUACAAGAAUUUUCGUUACCCAGGAAGGAGUGGUAUAAUUACUUAAGGAUUAGAGGUUUCAUCAAACAAUUUUUGUUAGCUCGACCUAUAGAGGGUUUAGAAAAACUGACCGCUUUAUUAAAUAAUGAGAAAGUAUCUCAAAUAGCCUCAAAAACAAGAAGCGCUCUUCUUCAGAUUGAAGCACCAACUACGAACAUAAACAUGCAGAAGUGGGGAAAAGAGCUAAAUAUACACAUUUUUAAGACUGAAUGGGAUGAAGUGUUAAUACAAACUAGUAAAGCUAUCCACUGUUUGAGUAUUCUGGAGGUACUGUUUAAAUUGAUGAAUCGCUGGUAUUUAGUUCCCACCAGAUUGACUAAAAUGUAUACCUCCAAUUCUCCAACGUGUUGGAGAUGUAAUGAGACGGAAGGGACUUUUGACCAUAUCUGGUGGGAAUGCAGUAAGGUGAAAAGGUUGUGGUACAUGGCCUUUGAGGCACUGGAAUACAUAACAGAGAGAAGUAUUCCUAGGGGUCCCCAUAAUGGCCUGUUCCAUCUAAAUCUACAAUCACUUAAUUUUAGAGAUAGAUUUAUAUAUGUCCACUUUGUGGCAGCAGUAAAAAUAAUAAUUGCUAGGAGUUGGAAGAGCAGUGAGAAUUUUACACAGGCCCGACUGUACUCACAAGUUCAAUAUCAAUUCAUUAUGGAGGCCUUAGGAUACCAGACAAAUAAAAUUAGAGAUAUUAGUAAUUUUUGGAGAAAAAGAAUGGAGAGUUCAGAUACACAAACCCCUGGACAGAGUGUUUAGAUUAUUUUUUUUUUGGUUUAUUAUAUUAAGAAGUAAGAAGAUUAUGCAACGCAAUGUGAGUUAUGUCUAUGCAAUGUGAGUUAUGUCUAUGCAAUGUGAGUUAUGUCUAGUAUAGUAGUUAAGGUAUAUGAUGUCAAGUUAGCCAAUAUCGAAGUGUUUCAUGUGCAAGUAAGAAACAGGGUUGUCUACACAGAAUUGUGCAUAUUGCACCUGGAUUUAAAAGAGAGGGGUUAAGUAAAGUUUAAGCCUGCUUGGCAAAUGACGUUAUUACUUUACAUAGGAUAAAUCUUUGUGAUCUUUGUGAUAAUUUAGAAGUGAAAUUAGUUGGAAUAUUUAUUAUUGAGAAUCCUGUAAUACAGUAUUUUAUAUGUUAUGCAUUAUGAAGAAAAUGGUGAUUUUCACUGUAGACGGAAAUUGUUUUUUAUAUGUGUCGAAUUAAAACAAAAUAAAUUAUUAUAAAAAAAAAAAAUACAUACCCUAUGCUAAUGUCUCACUUUAAUCUUGCAAGUAAAUCCAUAUCCCCUAACAGCAGCGUCCAGUGAAGCAAGAUUUCAGUGGACAGGGUAAAAGGUUGGGCCACUGACGCGAACCACGUAACCAAACCCACCUAAAGUGGCAAUAAUGCCAAAAAAAAUCUGCCCAAGGAAUUAGAAGGUCAGCCUGGCGUGAAUGCAUGUAAGGCUGCCUGCCAAUUAUGCAGGAUGACCAACUAAGGGCAUACUAUGCAGACAGCAUCCUGAGCUUGGCAUAACUACAUCUAAUAAUGCAAUUACUCCACGCUUUCUAAGAACUGUCCAAUAGCACACGCUGGUCCACUCCUCUCCUAACCUUCUUACUGGGACAGAGAAAAGGUGUACGUAAUGAGUGUAGAUGAAAGGGAACAUGCCACAGAGUUAUAAAGACUAGAGCAGCAAGAGCAUUUGCAUAGUGCGCAAAGUCAGCUUUACCUUAACUAAUUUAAUUGUCAGCCAGUCCACACCAGUUUUGUUUCCCUACAUCCACAUGUGAAAAGUAGAAAGAAAAAAAAAGGUGCAGCUCCUUCAGGUCCUAUGUUAAUCCUGCCCUGGCUUUUCCACAUCUUAAAGAGAGGCAUGGUCUUCAAAGCCACAAGGUGGCCAGCAUACCACCACAGGCCUCACAAGAAGAACUCUCCAAGACUCUUAGCCUCUACACCGUGGGUGCAAGGGUCUGUGGACUUUAUGUUGAAGAUCCAAAUGAGUCCCGGAGCUGGAGGAAGUGGCUUAAGGGGCAAUCCCAUCCAAGCUAUGCCGGUUUGUUACAGCAGUAGACCUUCCUAGCCAAGGCAUAGGCUGACCCCAUUUACCAAGCUGGCACAGCAACCUGCAAUCCUUUGUUGUUGUUUUUUGUGCCUGGGCUACAGCUGAUUUUUAGUUCAGUGUUACGUAGUCUUUUAAUUUGUCGUUAGUACCCUCAGGGUAUAUCCUGGACCUUGUUCAGGCACUAGUCUUGCCUGCUGUGGCAGUGGUCACCUUAUUAUUCAGACUUCACCAAGAUAUUGCUGCCUCUCAUUUUCCAUUACAUGUCUCAGUUAAUAUAGCUAUAUGUCGCAGUCUUUACAUGUAUUAUUAUUAUUACCUAUUAUAUUCAUGCCUAUGUCAAGCCUCCUGAUCUUACGCACUUAGAGAGUCACAUACUUAGACAAGACUGUCUUACACGUGAUGUUUAAUUCAUAACAUGUGCUAUUCAUUCGACAUGUCCUGUAACGUAUGUAGUGAUUCUUUGCUGCACUUAAUCUUGUCGAUGUGUCAAAAUAUGCAUGCUUGUCUCUCUAUGCACUACAAAAAUAAGGAACUAAAAAACAAAAACAACAAAAAAGUCAUGCCACAUAAGACAUUGUCCAGGAUGGCAUGGGUAUGUGUGCUGUAACCACCUCUACACUGCCAGGUACCUAUAUUUGAAAAAAUGCUGCCUAUCUAUAUUUUAUAGCAAUUUCUCUAACAUAGUGUAUAGCUAAAGAUAAUAAUUCACAAGAAAAAAUAAAUAUAAAUAUAUAAAUAUAUAUAUUUACAUAGUUACAUAGUUACAUAGCUGAAAAGAGACUUGCGUCCAUCAAGUUUAGCCUUCCUUACAAAUGUUGUUGCUGUUGAUCCAAAAGAAGGCAAAAAACCUGGUCUGAAGCGCUUCCAAUUUUGCCACAAACUAGGAAAAAACAUUUGAAUGAAAAUUAUUUCCAAUAAAUUUAGAUUAAUUGUUUUGCAGCAGUGGUCAGUAACUGCAAGAUAGAGAACAUAAGAAUAUAAGUCCAAAAUGACUAAAUGAAAAACAGAGAAAAAAUACUGUUUACAUUUGAAAAUGUUUAUAAAAAAAACAAUUAUAAAAAAAUUUGUUAUAAAAAUUAGUUAUAAAAAAUGAUUAAAAAUCCACAUUUAAUCCCGAAGAUGUUAACUUUUCUAAAUAAAUCACAGACCAAUCUGUCGCGCAAUACAAAAAAUCCAUUGUGAGGCACCUAUUCAAUGCUGCUAAAUCCCUGAUUCCAUUGAUGUGGAAAAACACCCAACCUCCCAUGAUCACGCAAUGGCUAAAGAGAGUAGAAGAAAUCCACACAGCGGAGGCAAAAUAUGCGGACAUUCUAGGUCGAAGCGACAAACACAUAGAACUCUGGGGGCCAUGGUGCAUGUACCUAACACACUCGCAGACACAGAGAGGUAGAUGUGGAAAACACGAGAGAAAACAGGACACACUUGAGCAACACAUAAACUAAGGAAACACCCCUCCCUGACCCCCACCUUUCCCCCCCCCAACUUGUCUCGGGGCUCCUGCAGGUCCAACCAGUGCCUGCGUAGCCAACCCCGGAACCCCUGGGACGUACAAGAUAACAGCAACAAAAACAACCCCUACGACCCAGAACCGGCGGGGCGGGAGGAGAGGAGAGGGGGAGCACAACAAGGACGAAAUAACCCACAACCUCUAAUAUAGCUACAUUGUAGCAACACUAAAUAAAAGCAGAAAUAGGAAGAGACAGAGACACCAGCUAAACAACCAAACACACUACAACUAGAGUCGAAUCCCUACCUGAACACACAUACAGGCACGAGCUAAACCUCACACUACAACACACACAGAACAACACAACACCUGGGAGACGACAAGACCCAUACAGAAGAGACAGGGACCACUGUGGAGAUGACACGCCACCACCAACACACCCUCCCCCCCUUUUUCUCAACACCUCCGCCCCAGACUAAAUAUGGUUUCAAGACACAACAGACCGGACUGUACUAAAAACCUGUAGGGACACGAAACAGUAGAACUCACCACGAAACCCUAAACUAAUAGGCAAAUGAGAAACUGCUUAAAAUCACACAGAGCUAACUCAAAGGGUGAACAACCAUAGACACCCAACCUGAUCUGAAUAACAAUGGCUACAAAUCUGCAUUUGAAUGUCAUAAACACGAUACUCACCUUACCUGAGAGAUCUGCGUAUCUUAAAAUAUUAAACGCUAUUUCAAAUACUUCAAAUGUUAGAAACCUGCGUGUUUCACACUGUAUAUUGACGAAAUGAAUCUUGACAACAUGACAAAAUACAAAUAAAAGGUUAUUUACAAAAAAAAAAUCUUUUCUAAAUAAGAAAUCCAUUUAAUUUCUUCUUUUUUAAUCCCUACAACUGUCAGGCCCAUAGUGUCCUGAUGACGGACUGUUUUGUGGCUACUUAUUAAAGGUUGCAAGGACAAGUGAGAAAAUAAAUGACAUCUUCAGUGAAACAUAUAAUUUGUUAGUGUAUUUUAUAACUUUUCUGUGUGGCUGUGGAUUUGAAUAAUUUUAUAGCUUGAAUGCUUCAUGAUGUAUUGUUUCUGCAGCCCACACACGUUCUCAUCUAAAAAAAAACCAAAAAAAACCUUUUAUUCUCAUUGAUAAAAUGUAUUUUUUCCUCUUCUUUCAUAAAAACCUUUACUAGUUUCUUUUUUUGACAAUCUUUGUUUUAUUGAGAUGGUAGCAUGAAACAGACAAUAAACAAUAUAAUACCAGAAUUUGACAGCUUGUCACAGUAAUGUGAUACUUAAUUCUAGAUAUAGUUAUUUCUGGGUGAAAUAACAUAAUGAAUAAAAGUAAUACAAUACAGGCUAAGGAACAGGUUGAAUAUGCAUGUCUAGACCUAGCUGAUUUGCUAAUGUGCAUUUGUAGGCUUGCUGUGGAAUAUAAGAAAAGCUAAGCUAUGAUUACCCUACAAGAGGAUGCAACUGAAUCAAACACCCAAACAACUAGGAUAGAAAAACAAAAUACAGGAUGCACCAAUAGCCAAUAACUGGAUUGGCAUGAUAGCAGUUGCCAUCAGUAUAAGGUGGUGUGACGGAAUGAGUCAGGAUGUCAAAGAUUUUAUUAUAUCUAAUAGUUACAUGGUACUUAUAGCUAUCCAGAUUACUAGGGGGUAGAGUGCAAAUUGGGUUGUUGCUGUUUUUAGCAGUACAUGACAGAGCGCUCUCAGCUCCCUUGUAUUACAGCAGGUUGUUCUGUUAGUCUACUCUUCAGAAUGUAUGCUUCUUUGUAUCCCUUCUAAUUCCUUGCAUCCCUCCCUAGACAAUCUAAUUUGCUGCAACUGUGCAUACGUGACACACAUCACUAGGGUGUCUAUAGCAAGCUUUUUUACCAGGCAGAUUAGGAAGCUUUCUGUUUAAAAGCAUUCUAAUUUGGGAAUAAUGUUGUCCGAAUACAGUUUUGUUUCCUAAAUUUUUUCCAAAUCUCAUUCUAUUCCAGACAGAUAAUUUCCAAAUUUCAUACAAACUGGAAUUGGAAAAUGAAUGAAUUGAAACUAAACAGAGCAGAUUUUUUCUUUACUAUGCACAUCUUUAUGAGAAUCUGAUUCCAGCUAUAUGUUUCAAUUCUGACUUCGAGGUACACUGCAGUCACUAUAACCAUUUUAUCUCAUUGUAUUGGUUACAAUGCUUGGAGUCACCUGGCAUACCCCUCCAUUCAUGUUACACCAUUUCAAGCAGUUUUAAACUAAGUAAAGGUCUCUAACCACCCACAGCCCGGCCGUCCCCUAUUAGAGGUGUGGCUAAGGUAGAGGUAACAUACUUUCUUCUAGCCAUGCCAGCCGAACUGAUACCAGCAAUGGAAGCCCUGGUAGACUGAAAGCGGUCAGUUGACAGUCUCGGCCAAUCACAGCCACCCAUUGCUGCUCAGACUCAUGUUUCCUUAUUAGCCUAAGCAGCACAGACCCUCUUUUAGGUUAAAAACAAAUUGAAUUCAGGAUACCAGGAAAUCAGUUUCACAAAGAUAAACGCACUCUCAGGAACCAGGGACAGGAAACCACGACAGGGCAAGGAAGUAAAGUGAAUUAGGGAUUUAAAUAUCCCUCUCUGGCUUCUGAUUGGUCAGAGGGUGACCUCUGACCCCAGAACAUGCGCGUGCGAUGCACGUAUAGAGUUUAACUCCUUAGCUGACGGUGGUGUAAAUCCACCUCUGGCAGGGUGAAGGAGGCGUCAUUAGCCAGCAUUGAACAAUAGUUCCAGGCUGACUAAUGUCAAUUCUAUGCAAAUGUUUUUUUUGCACAGAAUUAGCUGAAAGAUAAUUGAAUUAUAGGUUUUUCUCACACAAUUAUCUCUCAGGCACAGAGGAUCUUGAGAUUGAAGCCUCUGCAUUAUUGUAUUGGAGACCCCAUGUAGGGGUCUGUGCAUAACAAUGAAAAUAAAAAAGGAUAUAGUGCCCGGAGUGUCCCAUUAAAGGAAUUCAACUGAAGAUAAUAAAUUAAAGUACACAUCUGUUUGUUGGGAUAAAUAUCAUAUAUGUGUAUUACAUAUUUUAAAGGCUGUUUACUUUGUGUUUGUUUCUUUUCAAUAUUUGUUUGUGACAAGAUUUUGUCCUUUGUGCUUCAAGGUGAUUCAGCGGAAGAGAUUGACUUGACUGUAGUUUAUCAAGCAUCAGCUAAUGGAGAUGUCAACACAUUGACUGCAAUCAUCCGUGAAGAUCCUUCUAUUUUAGAAUACU
rnacentral:lncRNA from 1 species